rnacentral:rRNA from 1 species
UGGGGAAUCUUGCGCAAUGGCCGAAAGGCUGACGCAGCGACGCCGCGUGUGGGAGGACGCCCUUCGGGGUGUAAACCACUGUUGCCCGGGACGAAUACUGCGUUUGGACGCAGUUGACGGUACCGGGUGAGGAAGCACCGGCUAACUCCGUGCCAGCAGCCGCGGUAAUACGGAGGGUGCGAGCGUUGUCCGGAAUCACUGGGCGUAAAGGGCGCGUAGGCGGCGCCAGCAGUCCGUGGUGAAAGCCCGAGGCUCAACUUCGGGUCGGCCAUGGAUACUCUGGGGCUUGAGUGUGGUAGAGGCCAAUGGAAUUCCGGGUGUAGCGGUGGAAUGCGUAGAGAUCCGGAAGAACACCGGUGGCGAAGGCGGUUGGCUGGGCCACAACUGACGCUGAGGCGCGACAGCGUGGGGAGCAAACAGGAUUAGAUACCCGCGUAGUCC